GAUGAACGCUGGCGGCGUGCCUAAUACAUGCAAGUCGAGCGAACGGACGAGAAGCUUGCUCCUCUGAUGUUAGCGGCGGACGGGUGAGUAACACGUGGAUAACCUACCUAUAAGACUGGGAUAACUUCGGGAAACCGUAGCUAAUACCGGAUAAUAUUUUGAACCGCAUGGUUCAAAAGUGAAAGACGGUUUUGCUGUCACUUUUAGAUGGAUCCGCGCUGCAUUAGCUAGUUGGUAAGGUAACGGCUUACCAAGGCAACGAUGCGUAGCUGACCUGAGAGGGUGAUCGGCCACACUGGAACUGAGACACGGUCCAGACUCCUACGGGAGGCAGCAGUAGGGAAUCUUGCGCAAUGGGCGAAAGCCUGACGGAGCAACGCCGCGUGAGUGAUGAAGGUCUUCGGAUCGUAAAGCUCUGUUAUUAGGGAAGAACAUAUGUGUAAGUAACUGUGCACAUCUUGACGGUACCUAAUCAGAAAGCCCCGGCUAACUACGUG
rnacentral:rRNA from 1 species